GUCGGUAAUGCAUGCACGUUGAAACCACCAGUUCCCAAUUGAUCACUGAAGUUAAGCAACGUUGCGCGUA
rnacentral:rRNA from 1 species